GAAGGUGGCCUGUCCCCACUCAGGGUUGUACAAACACCCUGACGUGAGUAGUUGUGUCUAUUAAUAGACAUGAGGAACUCUGAAAUCCCCAUGACAAAGGCUGUGAGUGCAGAUUCCCCUUCCCAGCCCAGAAACACGUAGUUCGGCGUGAUGUAACCUUCCCACACCGGGGAGUUUCCCAGCAGGCAGUGAGGAGUAUAAGAGUGGGACUCAGGCACGGGCAAGGUAGAAGCCAUGGAGAGAGCCUGGAGCACUGCACACACUGAGACCACACUGCCAGCCACAAGGGCCAGCUUUUCCUCUUCUCAGCGUGUCUGUCCUCACGAGCCGGAGCUGAUGUCACCUUCAUUUCUUAUCCACUGCCCCCCAAUUACGAAAGCAGACAUGGACCAGGGACUUCUUCCCACCGUCUGCUUCCAUGGGUAGAGCCCACAGUCCAGCUGCAAGAUGAAGGAUUGAGACCUCGCUGAUGUUUCUCCUCUCUCUUUGCUGCACCAUUGCCCUCCACUCACUGGAGGAAGUCACAACGUGGAGGGGGCCCAGCCUUAGCUCUGCUGGGAAAGGAAGUGGGAGGUCAGCGAGAGUUGGCAGCAACAUUAUCUGCUUUCCAGCUGGGGUGGGACACUUCUGCUGGCAAAGAGGAGGUCUGCUGUCCCUCUUCUCACAGGAGUGUUUCAUGGUUGGGAGGUACCAAAUAACUCCCGUAAAAUGCUGUCCCAGGUACACUCUGCUGCCAAUGGGACAGUAAUUUUGGUAUUUCUGCAACAACCUUACUGUCUAUCUUGUUUAAAACAAUAAAAUAAACAAAGCCAUGUCUA